GGGCCGGUAGAUCAGCCCGGUUAUGUCUUCUUUUCGAAGGCAUUGGGAAUUAGAUCGCUUCCUUGGCAGCUGUCAAGGAAUACCCUGACUUCCAAAAUGGAAGAGGGCACGAGUUCGAAUCUCGUCCGGUCCA
rnacentral:tRNA from 1 species